GCGGUAGUUGGCGCGGAGAGACGGCCUCCGAUGCAGUUCAGGGCGCUGCUGAGGCUGAAGGCGUAGCGGUCUUGAAACCGUCGUGGCAGCGAUGUCACGGUGGGUUCAAAUCCCACACCCACCGCA
rnacentral:tRNA from 1 species